rnacentral:rRNA from 1 species
UACGUAGGGUGCGGGCGUUGUCCGGAUUUAUUGGGCGUAAAGAGCUCGUAGGCGGUUUGUCGCGUCGGCCGUGAAAUCUCCACGCUUAACGUGGAGCGUGCGGUCGAUACGGGCAGACUUGAGUUCGGUAGGGGAGACUGGAAUUCCUGGUGUAGCGGUGAAAUGCGCAGAUAUCAGGAGGAACACCGGUGGCGAAGGCGGGUCUCUGGGCCGAUACUGACGCUGAGGAGCGAAAGCUAGGGGAGCAAACAGG